UAGAGUGUCGUACGGGUGCGUAACACGUAUGCAACCUACCUUUUACAGGAGUAUAGCUCCCCGAAAGGGGAAUUAACCCUCCAUAAUAUCAUUGGAUGGCAUCAUUUGAUGAUUAAAACUGAGGUGGUAAAAGAUGGGCAUGCGUCUGAUUAGUUAGUUGGCAGUGUAACGGACUACCAAGACGAUGAUCAGUAGGGGACCUGAGAGGGUGAUCCCCCACACUGGCACUGAGAUACGGGCCAGACUCCUACGGGAGGCAGCAGUAGGGAAUAUUGGACAAUGGGUGAGAGCCUGAUCCAGCCAUGCCGCGUGCAGGAAGAAGGCGUUAUGCGUUGUAAACUGCUUUUGCCAAGGGAUAAAACGGUUCUGCGGAACUAAUUGAAGGUACCUGGUGAAUAAGCCACGGCUAACUACGUGCCAGCAGCCGCGGUAAUACGUAGGUGGCAAGCGUUGUCCGGAUUUAUUGGGUUUAAAGGGUGCGUAGGCGGCCCUGUAAGUCAGUGCUGAAAUAUCCCGGCUUAACCGGGAGGGUGGCAUUGAUACUGCAGGGCUUGAGUACAGAUGAAGUAGGCGGAAUUGACGGUGUAGCGGUGAAAUGCAUAGAUAUCGUCAAGAACACCGAUAGCGAAGGCAGCUUACCAAGCUGUAACUGACGCUGAGGCACGAAAGUGUGGGGAUCAAACAGGAUUAGAUACCCUGGUAGUCCACACUGUAAACGUUGAUGACUCGAUGUUGGCGAUAUACAGCCAGCGUCCAGGAGCAAUCGUUAAGUCAUCCACCUGGGGAGUACGCCGGCAACGGUGAAACUCAAAGG
rnacentral:rRNA from 1 species